rnacentral:rRNA from 1 species
UAGGGAAUCUUCCGCAAUGGGCGAAAGCUUGACGGAGCAACGCCGCGUGAGUGAUGAAGGUCUUCGGAUCGUAAAACUCUGUUAUUAGGGAAGAACAAAUGUGUAAGUAACUAUGCACGUCUUGACGGUACCUAAUCAGAAAGCCACGGCUAACUACGUGCCAGCAGCCGCGGUAAUACGUAGGUGGCAAGCGUUAUCCGGAAUUAUUGGGCGUAAAGCGCGCGUAGGCGGUUUUUUAAGUCUGAUGUGAAAGCCCACGGCUCAACCGUGGAGGGUCAUUGGAGACUGGAAAACUUGAGUGCAGAAGAGGAAAGUGGAAUUCCAUGUGUAGCGGUGAAAUGCGCAGAGAUAUGGAGGAACACCAGUGGCGAAGGCGACUUUCUGGUCUGUAACUGACGCUGAUGUGCGAAAGCGUGGGGAUCAAACAGG